rnacentral:rRNA from 1 species
UAGGGAAUCUUCCACAAUGGACGCAAGUCUGAUGGAGCAACGCCGCGUGAGUGAAGAAGGUUUUCGGAUCGUAAAGCUCUGUUGUUGGUGAAGAAGGAUAGAGGCAGUAACUGGUCUUUAUUUGACGGUAAUCAACCAGAAAGUCACGGCUAACUACGUGCCAGCAGCCGCGGUAAUACGUAGGUGGCAAGCGUUGUCCGGAUUUAUUGGUCGUAAAGCGAGCGCAGGCGGAAUGAUAAGUCUGAUGUGAAAGCCCACGGCUCAACCGUGGAAAUGAAUCGGAAACUGUAAUUCUUGAGUGCAGAAGAGGAGAGUGGAAUUCCAUGUGUAGGGGUGGAAUGCGUAGAUAUAUGGAAGAACACCAGUGGCGAAGGCGGGUCUCUGGUCUGCAACUGACGCUGAGGCUCGAAAGCAUGGGUAGCGAACAGG